UACAGAGGCCUCGAGCGUUAGGCGGAAUCACUGGGCUUAAAGCGUGUGUAGGCGGACUUCUAAGUACCUUGUGAAAUCCCACGGCUUACCCGUGGAACGGCUGGGUAUACUGGUUGUCUUGAGCCACUUAGGGGCUACCGGAACAAAUGGUGGAGCGGUGAAAUGCGUAGAUAUCAUUUGGAACGCCAAUGGUGAAAACAGGUAGCUGGGAGUGUGCUAACGCUGAGACACGAAAGCCAGGGGAGCGAACGGG
rnacentral:rRNA from 1 species